UAAUAGCUCACUGGUCGAGUCGGCCUGCGCGGAAGAUGUAACGGGGCUAAACCAUGCACCGAAGCUGCGGCAGCGACGCUGAUGCGUUGUUGGGUAGGGGAGCGUUCUGUAAGCCUGUGAAGGUGGCCUGUGAGGGUUGCUGGAGGUAUCAGAAGUGCGAAUGCUGACAUAAGUAACGAUAAAGCGGGUGAAAAGCCCGCUCGCCGGAAGACCAAGGGUUCCUGUCCAACGUUAAUCGGGGCAGGGUGAGUCGACCCCUAAGGCGAGGCCGAAAGGCGUAGUCGAUGGGAAACGGGUUAAUAUUCCCGUACUUGGUGUUACUGCGAAGGGGGGACGGAGAAGGCUAUGUUGGCCGGGCGACGGUUGUCCCGGUUUAAGCGUGUAGGUGUGUGUUCCAGGUAAAUCCGGUUCACUUUAACACUGAGGCGUGACGACGAGGCACUACGGUGCUGAAGCAACAAAUGCCCUGCUUCCAGGAAAAGCCUCUAAGCAUCAGGUAACAUCAAAUC
rnacentral:rRNA from 1 species